rnacentral:rRNA from 1 species
UACGUAGGGGGCAAGCGUUGUCCGGAUUUAUUGGGCGUAAAGAGCGUGUAGGCGGUUUGGUAGGUCCGUUGUGAAAACUCGAGCUCAACCUCGAGACGCCGACGGAAACCAUCAGACUAGAGUCCGGAAGAGGAGAGUGGAAUUCCUGGUGUAGCGGUGAAAUGCGCAGAUAUCAGGAAGAACACCCGUGGCUAAGGCGGCUCUCUAGUACGGUACUGGACGCUGAAGACGCGAAAGCGUGGGGAGCGAACAGG